UAGCAUACAACUGGGUGGCGACCGGCGCACGGGUGAGUAACGCGUAUGCAACCUUUCUAUCAGAGGGGAAUAACCCGGCGAAAGUCGGACUAAUACCGCAUAAAACAGGGACACCGCAUGGUGAUAUUUGUUAAAGAAAUUCGCUGAUAGAUGGGCAUGCGUUCCAUUAGGUAGUUGGUGAGGUAACGGCUCACCAAGCCGACGAUGGAUAGGGGAACUGAGAGGUUGGUCCCCCACACUGGUACUGAGACACGGACCAGACUCCUACGGGAGGCAGCAGUGAGGAAUAUUGGUCAAUGGGCGAGAGCCUGAACCAGCCAAGUCGCGUGAAGGAAGAAGGAUCUAUGGUUCGUAAACUUCUUUUGCAGGGGAAUAAAGUGCAGGACGUGUCCUGUUUUGUAUGUACCCUGAGAAUAAGGAUCGGCUAACUCCGUGCCAGCAGCCGCGGUAAUACGGAGGGUCCGAGCGCUAUCCGGAUUUAUUGGGUUUAAAGGGUGCGUAGGUGGUUUGAUAAGUCAGCGGUGAAAGUUUGCAGCUUAACUGUAAAAAUGCCGUUGAAACUGUCGGACUUGAGUGUAAAUGAGGUAGGCGGAAUGCGUGGUGUAGCGGUGAAAUGCUUAGAUAUCACGAAGAACUCCGAUUG
rnacentral:rRNA from 1 species